UGGCACCAGGAACUUGUAGAAGUAUCAUUUGUUAAUAUAUUCUGCUGGUCUUAUCCAUCAAGGUAGUACAACUUGGCAUAAAUCACACUUUCUUCUGGCUUUCUGGCAUGUUAGUUAUGUUGCAUUACAUUCUCUCAUGGCUGUACUCUAUUCUUACCCUCUAAACCACAACUAAAAUGUCAUCUUCUUAGACUUAAAUUGGGAACAGUGAAAUCUUUGUGUGUCAGAGACAGAGAUUCCAAUGGCUGUAAUCUUAUAUCCACGUCCAUUCAUCUCCUUUCUUCCAGAUCACUCUCAAAAGAGUAGGCUGCCAAGAGGACAGACUGGAAAUAUUCUAAGGGAGAAGAAUGAAAACUAGAAGUGGAUUCAGAUCCAAAGAGAAGCAAGAAAUACGGGAUCUUAUGAUGUCCAUGGAGACACCACACACUGUGAAGGAUAAGGCUUUCUUGGUACAUGGAUCACAGCAGAAGUAACUCCUCCUACUUAUUUCCAUUUAAACUAUGACAGAUCACAGAGCACAGUAACAGACGCAUAGAAUCACCAACGUUGGAAAAGACCUCUAAGAUUAUCCAGUCCAACUGUCCACAUGUCACCAACAUCUCCCAAUAAACCACAUCCGUCUGUACAACAACUAAAUGUUUCUUGAACAUUUCCAGGGAUAGUGACACCACCCCAUCCCUCAGCAGCCUGUUUCAGUGCCUGACCACUCUUCUGGAGUAGUAGUAUUUCCUAGAGUCCUACCUGAAUCUCCCCUGUCGCAACUUGAGGCCACUCGCUCUAAUCCUACUGCUAGUUACAUAGGAGAAGGGGCUAACUCCCACCUCAGCACAGCCUCCCUUCAGGCAGUUGUAGAGAGCAAAAAGGUCACCCCCGAGCCUCUACUCAAGACUAAACAAUCUCAGUUCCCUCAGCCGCUCCUCAUAAGACUUGUGCUCCAGACCUCUUACCUCUCAGCUUUGUUGCCCUUCUCUGAACACACUCCAGGGCCUCGAUGUCUUUCUUGUAGUGAGGGGUUGUACCAAACUGAGCAGAGUACUUGAGUUGCAGCCUCUCUAGUGUGGUGUACCUUCAAGAACAGAGGGAUGAUCAGUUCCCUGCUCCUGCUAGCAACACUUUCUGAUGCAAGCCAGGAUGCCACCUGGGCACACUGCUGACUCAUAUUCGACCAAGCAUUGACCAGUAUACCCAGCUCCAUUUCCUCUAUAUCAUCUUUCAGCUACUUUGUCCCGAGCCUGUAUCAUAUGAAGUAUAUUACUUGCUAGAAUAAAUUCUCAACCACAAGACACUCUUUUUCAACAGUCACCACUAUUAGCUGUGCAUUUUCAUCAGUGAUAAACAAGAGCCCACAUGCCACAUUCAAAAA